UACGUAGGUGGCAAGCGUUGUCCGGAAUCAUUGGGCGUAAAGCGCGUGUAGGCGGUCCGGUAAGUCCGCUGUGAAAAGUCGGGGGGCUCAACCCUCGGAUGCCGGUGGAUACUGUCGGGCUUGAGUACGGAAGAGGCGAGUGGAAUUCCUGGUGUAGCGGUGAAAAUGCGCAGAUAUCAGGAGGAACACCAAUGCGAAGGCAGCUCGCUGGGACGUUACUGACGCUGAGACGCGAAAGCGUGAGGAGCAAACAGG
rnacentral:rRNA from 1 species